UACGAAGGGGGCUAGCGUUGCUCGGAAUCACUGGGCGUAAAGCGCACGUAGGCGGCUUUUUUAAGUCAGGGGUGAAAUCCUGGAGCUCAACUCCAGAACUGCCUUUGAUACUGAGAAGCUCGAGUCCGGGAGAGGUGAGUGGAACUGCGAGUGUAGAGGUGAAAUUCGUAGAUAUUCGCAAGAACACCAGUGGCGAAGGCGGCUCACUGGCCCGGUACUGACGCUGAGGCACGAAAGCGUGGGGAGCAAACAGG
rnacentral:rRNA from 1 species